rnacentral:rRNA from 1 species
UACGAAGGGGGCUAGCGUUGCUCGGAAUUACUGGGCGUAAAGGGCGCGUAGGCGGACAGUUUAGUCAGAGGUAAAAGCCCAGGCUCAACCUUGGAACUGCCUUUGAUACUGACUGUCUUGAGUUCGGGAGAGGUGAGUGGAAUGCCGAGUGUAGAGGUGAAAUUCGUAGAUAUUCGGCGGAACACCAGUGGCGAAGGCGACUCACUGGCCCGAUACUGACGCUGAGGCGCGAAAGCGUGGGGAGCAAC